rnacentral:ncRNA from 2 species
UCCUGGGAGGAUUGACAGAUUAAGAGCUCCUUCUUGAUUCGGUGGAUGGUGGUGCACGUCCGUUCUUAGUUGGUGGAGCGACUUUUCUGGUUGAUUUCGAUAGUGAACGACAUCCUAGCUUAUUAAAUAGGUGCGUGGUUCUCUGCACCUCGUACCCUUAGAGGGACAAGCGGCUCCUAGCCGCACGAAAGAGAGCAAUAACAGGUCUCUGAAGCCCUUAGAU